rnacentral:lncRNA from 1 species
ACCUCUAGAAAAAGCUAUUUAAUGAUUAACUACUAGUUUCCUUUCUCUCAUAGUUCCUUUUCUUUUACAGUUUAUCUGUUCUGUCUAUUCUGACUCAAAGGUCUUUGAAAUAGAACCUGGCUCUCCAAAUGACAGUGGUCUCCUGUGAUAUACAAGAAGUCUAUUGUGGCCCUACCAGAAACCCCUCUACAUUCAGAGACAAUCAGCAAAUGAAAGAAGUCUGGGACUGA